UGGGGAAUAUUGCGCAAUGGGCGAAAGCCUGACGCAGCGACGCCGCGUGAGGGAUGAAGGUUCUCGGAUCGUAAACCUCUGUCAGGGGGGAAGAAACCCCCUCGUGUGAAUAAUGCGAGGGCUUGACGGUACCCCCAAAGGAAGCACCGGCUAACUCCGUGCCAGCAGCCGCGGUAAUACGGAGGGUGCAAGCGUUAAUCGGAAUCACUGGGCGUAAAGCGCACGUAGGCGGCUUGGUAAGUCAGGGGUGAAAUCCCACAGCCCAACUGUGGAACUGCCUUUGAUACUGCCAGGCUUGAGUACCGGAGAGGGUGGCGGAAUUCCAGGUGUAGGAGUGAAAUCCGUAGAUAUCUGGAGGAACACCGGUGGCGAAGGCGGCCACCUGGACGGUAACUGACGCUGAGGUGCGAAAGCGUGGGUAGCAAACA
rnacentral:rRNA from 1 species